rnacentral:rRNA from 1 species
UAGGGAAUUUUGCGCAAUGGGGGAAACCCUGACGCAGCAACACCGCGUGAACGACGACGCCCUUCGGGGUGUAAAGUUCUGUCAGUAGGGACGAAUUUUGACGGUACCUACAAAGGAAGCAUCGGCUAACUACGUGCCAGCAGCCGCGGUAAGACGUAGGAUGCAAGCGUUGUCCGGAAUCAUUGGGCGUAAAGAGUUCGUAGGCGGUAUGUAAAGUCUGGUGUUAAAGCCUGAGGCUCAACCUCAGUUCGGCAUCGGAUACUUACAAACUAGAGUGCAAUAGAGGUAGGGGGAAUUCCUAGUGUAGCGGUGAAAUGCGUAGAUAUUAGGAGGAACACCGGUGGCGAAAGCGCCCUACUGGGUUGUAACUGACGCUGAGGAACGAAAGCCAGGGUAGCAAAUG